rnacentral:misc_RNA from 1 species
GUGAGUCAUCGAAUCUUUGAACGCACAUUGCGCUCUCUGGUAUUCCGGGGAGCAUGCUCGUUUCAGAAUCAGUAAAAAUCUCAAAGAUCCAUGGCUUGUCCUUCUGUACAGUAGCGGCGAUACCAUCAAAGCAGCAGUACUGUGGAUAGAAGUGAAUCUUUCGGAUGUGAGCCCUUUUGUUUCUUUACAAAUGGCUUUAAAUUGAUUGUGUUUGCAACCACUCUCCAUGAGUCGGGUCUCUCCAAGUGCAACAGAUGGUUACUCAUUCGUUAUCUCUUGUCGAGGAUCGAUUACCGAGGU